UGGGGAAUAUUGCACAAUGGAGGAAACUCUGAUGCAGCGAUGCCGCGUGAGGGAAGAAGGUUUUAGGAUUGUAAACCUCUGUCUUCAGGGACGAAAAAAGGACGGUACCUGAGGAGGAAGCUCCGGCUAACUACGUGCCAGCAGCCGCGGUAAUACGUAGGGAGCGAGCGUUGUCCGGAAUUACUGGGUGUAAAGGGAGCGUAGGCGGGAUCGCAAGUCAGAUGUGAAAACUAUGGGCUUAACCCAUAAACUGCAUUUGAAACUGUGGUUCUUGAGUGAAGUAGAGGUAAGCGGAAUUCCUAGUGUAGCGGUGAAAUGCGUAGAUAUUAGGAGGAACAUCAGUGGCGAAGGCGGCUUACUGGGCUUUAACUGACGCUGAGGCUCGAAAGCGUGGGGAGCAAACAGGAUUAGAUACCCUGGUAGUCCACGCCGUAAACGAUGAUUACUAGGUGUGGGGGGACUGACCCCUUCCGUGCCGCAGCAAACGCAAUAAGUAAUCCACCUGGGGAGUACGACCGCAAGGUUGAAACUCAAAGGAAUUGACGGGGGCCCGCACAAGCAGUGGAGUAUGUGGAUUAAUUCGAAGCAACGCGAAGAACCUUACCAGGUCUUGACAUCGUAUGCAUAGCUCAGAGAUGAGUGAAAUCUCUUCGGAGACAUAUAGACAGGUGGUGCAUGGUUGUCGUCAGCUCGUGUCGUGAGAUGUUGGGUUAAGUCCCGCAACAAGCGCAACCCUUACUGUUAGUUGCUACGCAAGAGCACUCUAGCAGGACUGCCGUUGACAAAACGGAGGAAGGUGGGGAUGACGUCAAAUCAUCAUGCCCCUUAUGACCUGGGCCUCACACGUACUACAAUGGCUGUAAACAGAGGGAAGCAAAGCCGCGAGGUAGAGCGAACCCCUAAAAGCAGUCUUAGUUCGGAUUGUAGGCUGCAACCCGCCUACAUGAAGUCGGAAUUGCUAGUAAUCGCAGAUCAGCAUGCUGCGGUGAAUACGUUCCC
rnacentral:rRNA from 1 species